rnacentral:rRNA from 1 species
UUAGUUGGUGGAGUGAUUUGUCUGGUUAAUUCCGGUAACGAACGAGACCCCCGCCUGCUAAAUAGAUGUGGGAAUGCGCUUGCAUUGCCGCAACUUCUUAGAGGGACUUUUGGUGACUAACCAAAGGAAGCUGGGGGCAAUAACAGGUCUGUGAUGCCCUUAGAUGUCCUGGGCCGCACGCGCGCUACACUGGCACACGCAACGAGUCUAUCACCUUGGUCGGCAGGCCUGGGUAAUCUGUGAACGUGUGCCGUGAUUGGGAUAGAUUGUUGCAAUUUUCAAUCUUGAACGAGGAAUUCCUAGUAAACGCGAGUCAUCAGCUCGCAUUGAUUACGUCCCUGCCCUUUGUAAACACCGCCCGUCGCACCUACCGAUUGAAUGGUUCGGUGAAACCUCCGGACUGUGGCUCGCAAGCUUAACGGCGAGCGUGCCACGGGAAGUUGGUUAAACCUCACUAUUUAGAGGAAGGUGAAGUCGUAACAAGGUUUCCGUAGGUGAACCUGCGGAAGGAUCAUU